UACGGAAGAUCCAAGCGUUAUCCGGAAUUACUGGGCGUAAAGAGUUGCGUAGGUGGCUUGUUAAGUUGGUAGUGAAAGCCUGUGGCUCAACCACAGACACAUUACCAAAACUGACAGGCUUGAGAAUGAGAGAGGUAGAUGGAAUUCCCAGUGUAGGAGUGAAAUCCGUAGAUAUUGGGAGGAACACCGAUGGCGUAGGCAGUCUACUGGCUCAUUUCUGACACUAAGGCACGAAAGCGUGGGGAGCGAACGGG
rnacentral:rRNA from 1 species